UUCCUGAUGGCUCAGUGGUAAAGAAUCUGCCUGCCAGCGCAGGAGGCAUAGGUUCGAUCCCUGAUCUGGGAA
rnacentral:tRNA from 1 species